CCCUUAGAUGUUCUGGGCCGCACGCGUGCUACACUGAACGGUUCAAUGGGUAAGGUAGUGCGAAAGCAUGACCUAAUCUCGAAAUCCGUUCGUGCUGGGGAUAGAAGCUUGCAAUUAUCCUUCUUGAACGAGGAAUACCUUGUAAGCGUGAGUCAUCAUCUCACGCUGAAUACGUCCCUGCCCUUUGUACACACCGCCCGUCGCUCCUACCGAUUGAGUGUUCCGGUGAGGCUUUGGGAGAAUGGCCUCAACAUGAGUUUAUCGUGUUUUGCCGUGUGAACUUAGUCAAACCUUAUCACUUAGAGGAAGGAGAAGUCGUAACA
rnacentral:rRNA from 1 species